CCGGUUUCCGAAGUGCGCGAGUCACCGUGGAUGCCUACUUUUUUUCGUGGCACCGUGCUUUCCGCUCUCUUUCGCAGCUUUUACUGCGCAGUAGUGUUUUUUUUUUCCCCGUGCGGCCAUGGCGUAAAGCAACGGAGCGUAAUUCGCGUAUUCCGAAGCCACUGUAAUUAGCCACAGUGCGAGUGCGUCCAGUGCACAACGGCCUGUCAGACGACUCGGAACCGAAUAUGAAGUGCGAGUUGUGCAACCACUGUCCAUGCGCUCACGGCCGGCUAUUCGAGCUCGACGACUUUCCUGUCGGCUUUCCAGUCGUCCUACUCAGCCGCCAUCUUGUUUGGACAGGAAACUAGCCUGCAUUGUUAUGGACUUCGAUGCUGUCUUCGCGAAGCUGUCUACUUCGACGUCUUCGUGAGAAUUGGAACGAGACCUAAGAUGGCCGCUGUCCACUGAGCGGUCUUCCUUGCCGUCUACGGAAGACAGCCGAUGGGUGUCAAGAAUAUUGGAAUAGCAAUGGAAACGUUCCGGUGACUGUACCUCAAGGUGAAAGCGUCAAAGAAAAGCAGGACGGGGACAUCCAUGCUGAGGCC